rnacentral:lncRNA from 1 species
GUAAGUCAAUGAAUCAGUCACAUCAUUUCAGCACACUGAAGAGUGGACCUAGCAGAAAAGAAUUCUGACAAGCUGAGCUUCAAGAACACCUGCAUAAGAACUCUGCUCACAAAUGAAAAUAAGAAAGAAGUCUGGGAAACUGCCAGCUCCUUGCAGAAAGACUGAAACGUGAUCGGCAGAGAAGGGUGUUGGUGUCGACAUUUGAGGAUGCAGUCAAGUCAAUGGAGUUCUGUUGUAGUGGUUGCUUCAGUGAACAUUCAACGCUGUCGGUGAGUUUGGAAUUAAAGUGAAAACCAUCGACCGUUGAUUGUACCCUCCAGCUAACCAUCCUCCUCCUUACUUCAUGCUUUCAGGCCUUAACACCGAAGAUAGCAACCUAACCAUCACAUGAUGUUUCUCCCUCACCCUGCCAAGCUUUAUAAAAAGGUCACAAUCAACAUUCAUUGCUGUCGGUGGGUUUAACUAU